rnacentral:rRNA from 1 species
UUUAGUGGCGGACUGGUGAGUAACGCGUGAGCAACCUGCCUAUUAGAGGGGAAUAACAGUGAGAAAUCAUUGCUAAUACCGCAUAUGCCAUAGGUACCACAUGGUACUAGUGGGAAAGGAGUAAUCCGCUAAUAGAUGGGCUCGCGUCUGAUUAGAUAGUUGGUGGGGUAACGGCCUACCAAGUCGACGAUCAGUAGCCGGACUGAGAGGUUGAACGGCCACAUUGGGACUGAGAUACGGCCCAGACUCCUACGGGAGGCAGCAGUGGGGAAUAUUGGGCAAUGGGCGCAAGCCUGACCCAGCAACGCCGCGUGAAGGAAGAAGGCUUUCGGGUUGUAAACUUCUUUUAAGAGGGAAGAGGAGAAGACGGUACCUCUAGAAUAAGCCACGGCUAACUACGUGCCAGCAGCCGCGGUAAUACGUAGGGAGCAAGCGUUAUCCGGAUUUAUUGGGUGUAAAGGGUGCGUAGACGGGAGAACAAGUUAGUUGUGAAAGCCCUCGGCUUAACUGAGGAACUGCAACUAAAACUAUUUUUCUUGAGUGCAGGAGAGGAAAGCGGAAUUCCUAGUGUAGCGGUGAAAUGCGUAGAUAUUAGGAGGAACACCAGUGGCGAAGGCGGCUUUCUGGACUGUAACUGUCGUUGAGGCACGAAAGUGUGGGGAGCAAACAGGAUUAGAUACCCUGGUAGUCCGCACGGUAAACGAUGGAUGCCCGCUGUUGGCCUGAAUAGGUCAGCGGCCAAGCGAAAGCAUUAAGCAUCCCACCUGGGGAGUACGCCGGCAACGGUGAAACUCAAAGGAAUUGACGGGGGCCCGCACAAGCGGAGGAACAUGUGGUUUAAUUCGAUGAUACGCGAGGAACCUUACCCGGGCUUGAAUUGCAGAGGAAGGAUUUGGAGACAAUGACGCCCCUCGGGGCCUCUGUGAAGGUGCUGCAUGGUUGUCGUCAGCUCGUGCCGUGAGGUGUCGGCUUAAGUGCCAUAACGAGCGCAACCCCUCUCCUUAGUUGCCAUCAGGUCAAGCUGGGCACUCUGAGGACACUGCCACCGUAAGGUGCGAGGAAGGUGGGGAUGACGUCAAAUCAGCACGGCCCUUACGUCCGGGGCUACACACGUGUUACAAUGGCAGGUACAGAGAGCCGGUCUGAUGCAAAUCAGAUCCAAUCCUUAAAGCCUGUCUCAGUUCGGACUGGGGUCUGCAACCCGACCCCACGAAGCUGGAUUCGCUAGUAAUCGCGCAUCAGC